GUUCUGGACUGCAGAAAGGUCUGCUUCUUCCUUUUCCAUUUACAUAGAAGGAAAUGUAAUACAUGCUGUGUUACUUUGUAUCAUUAAAAGAAGAGGGACUAAUUGCGUACAAACUCUGUCAUAACAUCUUUGAGUUGGAGGUUUAAUGUGUUUUGAAGAAAUCUAGCAACGACAUUUGACAGCUUCAAAAUAUCUCACGGCCUUCAACAUCAGACAAAAAUCAUAUGUGAAGGAACAAACUGCUAAAUGAAGGAACUAAUUGUUUGGAAUCCAAAUUUAUUACUAGUAUGUAUUGUAUGCUCAGUUGUAUGCCUGAUUUAUGGGUACCGUUACCAUGAAACAAGUGAUAACAUGUUUUCUCAUGAAAUCAUUUUUUAUCUCUGUAGCUCAGGAAGAUUUGGAAACAGCUCAUGAUCUCCUGUUAUCUAUGAAAUUGUAGUAUAUAUACAUAAAUUUGACAUACAGUACCCUAAUUAUUUUCAAGCUCAUACGCAUUUCUAAUUGAAAAAUUAGAUGAUAUGUAUCUUUUUUACAUAUCCUAUGUACAAAAACAAAUAAAAG
ensembl:lncRNA